GUAGGGUGCGAGCGUUAAUCGGAAUUACUGGGCGUAAAGCGUGCGCAGGCGGUUUUGUAAGCCAGAUGUGAAAGCCCCGGGCUCAACCUGGGAAUGGCAUUUGGGACUGCAAGGCUUGAGUGCGGCAGAGGAGACUGGAAUUCCUGGUGUAGCAGUGAAAUGCGUAGAUAUCAGGAGGAAUACCGAUGGCGAAGGCAGGUCUCUGGGCUGACACUGACGCUCAUGCACGAAAGCGUGGGGAGCAAACAGGAUUAGAUACCCUGGUAGUCCACGCCCUAAACGAUGUCGACUGGUUGUUGGGGGUUUGACACUCUCAGUAACGAAGCUAACGCGUGAAGUCGACCGCCUGGGGAGUACGGCCGCAAGGUU
rnacentral:rRNA from 1 species